GCCCGGUUAGCUCAGAUGGUAGAGCAUCAGACUUUUGAUCUGAGGUUCAUGGGUUCGAGCCCCAUAUCGGGCG
rnacentral:tRNA from 2 species